rnacentral:rRNA from 1 species
GAUGAACGCUGGCGGCGUGCCUAAUACAUGCAAGUCGAGCGAACAGACGAGGAGCUUGCUCCUCUGACGUUAGCGGCGGACGGGUGAGUAACACGUGGAUAACCUACCUAUAAGACUGGGAUAACUUCGGGAAACCGGAGCUAAUACCGGAUAAUAUAUUGAACCGCAUGGUUCAAUAGUGAAAGACGGUUUUGCUGUCACUUAUAGAUGGAUCCGCGCCGCAUUAGCUAGUUGGUAAGGUAACGGCUUACCAAGGCAACGAUGCGUAGCCGACCUGAGAGGGUGAUCGGCCACACUGUAACUGAGACACGGUCCAGACUCCUACGGGAGGCAGCAGUAGGGAAUCUUCCGCAAUAGGCGAAAGCCUGACGGCGCAACGCCGCGUGAGUGAUGAAGGUCUUCGGAUCGUAAAACUCUGUUAUUAGGGAAGAACAAAUGUGUAAGUAACUAUGCCCGUCUUGACGGUACCUAAUCAGAAAGCCACGGCUAACUACGUG